rnacentral:rRNA from 1 species
AUGGCGAGCACGGCGGAAGCGCUGCGGCUGCCCCCGCGCCUCUCGGGUUCGCCGCCAUCCUCGCCCGUCACCGUCGGCGCGCUACUCACCAAUGCUGUCGGCGCCAGCAGGACCCGGCGCGAAUGCCGUUCACCACGGUCCCUGCUGUCGCGCAUUCUUGGGAGGGGCGGCGGCGGGUUCGGCUGCCGCCUGCGCAUCCCCUGCUACUGCUCCAGCGGCGCCGGAGCGGCCGCCAAGGAGGACGCCGUAGAGGAGGAGGUGGCCGCGCCUAAGGUGGUCGUGGCGAGCAAGCAAGAAGCAGAGGUUCGCGAGUCGCCUCGGAGUUCACUGCAGGGGAUGAAGGCGGCGCCGGAGGUGUCGGCGGCGAGCCUCGGGCUGGGCGCGGGCCUGGUGCUGCUGCUGUCCAGGGGCGCGGCGGAGCUGAGCAGGAUGGCGGAGCUGCGCGCCCAGAUGGAGCGGCUGGUGAUGGACGCGCGUGGCAGCACCCGCUCCGACUUGUCUGACAGCGGCCAUGUCGAUGACGGUGCCAGCGUCGUCAAGGAGCGCAUCGUCUUCACCGAUGCCGGCGGCGAGGACGCCUCGUUGUCCUGUGGUUCACAUGCUGUCGCUGCGAUGGAUCAGAUGGAAGCGGAGCUCGAGGCGGAACUGACGCGCCUGCAGCUCGACUCGGACCUCGGUGACGGGGAGUGCGUGACCCCGCGGCGAGAUCACCAGCUCGAGUCCGCCGUGAAGAGCGACAUCUCCUCGGAGAGCGGCUCCCCUGCUUGCGUCGGCAUGGACGGCGUCCUCGACGACGCGGCGAGAGGAUGCAAGGAACACGAAGACAACGAGGAAGAGGAGGAGGGAGCCACUGACGAGGAGGACGAAGAUAGCAAGGCGUGCGACGGCGGUGUGCCGGCCCGUGUGCUGGAACGGAGGCUGCACGAGCUCCUGCAGUCGCGUCACGAGGAGCGGAUCGCGGAGCUGGAGACGGAACUGGAGCGCGCGCAGAGGAAGCUGCGGGACAAGGAGCGCGAAGUGUCGCGGUGGCGCGACACCGCCAAGCUCGUCUCCCGCCACAAGGACGAGUCGCGGCUCCGGUAG